ACUUGAUGAUGUGGACAUUUAUAGAGUAAGUCCCUAAAGCGCUCCCAAGUCUCGAAAAAGAGUUCCCCAUCCAUCUGUGUGAAACUUGUGAUGGCUCUCUGAAGCU